rnacentral:rRNA from 1 species
AUUGAACGCUGGCGGCAGGCCUAACACAUGCAAGUCGAGCGGAUGAAGGGAGCUUGCUCCUGGAUUCAGCGGCGGACGGGUGAGUAAUGCCUAGGAAUCUGCCUGGUCGUGGGGGAUAACGUCCGGAAACGGGCGCUAAUACCGCAUACGUCCUGAGGGAGAAAGUGGGGGAUCUUCGGACCUCACGCUAUCAGAUGAGCCUAGGUCGGAUUAGCUAGUUGGUGGGGUAAAGGCCUACCAAGGCGACGAUCCGUAACUGGUCUGAGAGGAUGAUCAGUCACACUGGAACUGAGACACGGUCCAGACUCCUACGGGAGGCAGCAGUGGGGAAUAUUGGACAAUGGGCGAAAGCCUGAUCCAGCCAUGCCGCGGGUGUGAAGAAGGUCUUCGGAUGGUAAAGCACUGUAAGUUGGGAGGAAGGGCAGUAAGUUAAUACCUUGCGGUUUUGACGGUACCAACAGAAUAAGCACCGGCUAACUUCGUG